AACCUCUGAGUUGUGGUUUCAGAAAUGUCAUAUGACCCUCUUUC
rnacentral:tRNA from 1 species